UGGGUUGUGGCUCAAUAGAGCACUUGCCUCCCAUGUAUGAUGUACUGGGUUCGAUUCUCAGCACCACAU
rnacentral:tRNA from 1 species